rnacentral:tRNA from 2 species
CAAAAUGUAGCUUAAAAUAAAGCAUCCGGCUUACACCCGGAAGAUGUCAUAACAAAUGAUCAUUUUGA